CUCGAUCCCCAUAAAUAAAGCAACAUUUCUAUUCAUUACUAUUUCAAACAGUUUUAAAAUGACCUAACCUACACCUGCCACAUCUCUAUGGAGUCAAAGGUCACAACUUUCUUCAACAUCUGUUUUUGUUGCAGCCUCACUUUUAGGUUUUGUUCUAACCCCCAGUUUCUAUCACUCCAGAACAUUGGGAGGGGACACGGCCUCCACCCUCACAGACCACAGUGGUAUUACGUAUUAGGACAUUUUUCUCACAUACUGUACUUUUACUUAUUCAUGGCAGUAACAGAUGGUAAUAAUCUAGUGACAUUAGUAAAUGUUGUUGGUUUGGUUCUAACCUCCUACUUCUAUCACUCCAGAACAUCAGGAGGAGACACGGCCAUGAUGGUUUCACCCAAACAACAGGAACUAGACAACAACAACAGCCUAUAGAACAUCAGGAGGAGACACGGCCAUGAUGGUUUCUCAGACUUCACCUGAAGAACAGGAACUUCUCAAGAACACCCUGAAGGAGGAGACGUGGCCAUGAUGGUUUCCAGGACUUCACGUGAAGAGGAGGAUCUUCGCGCUACAGAAACCACGGGGAGGACACGGCCCCCCCCGCGCUUGCUACCACAGGACCCACUCCGAUGAUCCAGGCCCCCGACAACGGGUGGGAUUCGAACCAAUCUCCUGCGACUUCCAGCCGCGGUUGAACCACCACACGCCACCGAGAACCCUUCACACUUGGACCUUCUCUCUGAGCGCUUUUGUCAUCGUCACUUUGGAAUCUGGACUUUAAAAGUCUCGACUGUCAUAAGAUUUGAACCCAUGACUUAAAAAGUUUCAACCACUCA